UUAUUAUUAUUAUUAUCUUUUUAUUUAGGUUUUUUGGGAUUUAUUUUUAAGAGAAAAAAAAAGAGCAUUUUUGGGAAAAUGCUCCUCACUUCCUUCUUUUAAACUCUAGGCAGGCAACACACAUUUCUCUCGUUCACAUGAAAAGCAUUUAAAAGUACAUUUAUUACAAAAGCCACUACUAUUGUUCUAACUUAAUAUUUGCAGAGGAAAUGUAAUUAUGGCAAAUGAGCAGAUUAGUCCUUUUUUUUUUAAUCCAAAUUUUGUCUGAUUAAGGUAGAUAGAAUUAUAGGGAAGCCUUUUGUGAGUUAACCGGAAGAUGAUGCCAUUUGUUCUGCCCUGAAAUGAAUGGUUUGAUUCACACAGGUUGUGUGGUACAUCUGCACUAGCUGGUCACCUUUAAAAUGUGUAGGUUUGUUGAAAGUCAGAUCUCUGCUAUGUCCCCAUUAUGAGCAUUGAAGUCUCUUUGAAUCAUUGUAGGAGAUCUUACAGAAGGAGAAUAUGAUAUUUAUUUACAUUUUAAGCUCAUUGUAGCCACCUGUACUGGUUCUCUUACAGAUUUCAUUCACUCUCAAGCAACAAGUUUGGUCCAGUCCCAAUCACUCGUGUGCCACAUACACCACAAGGAAUGAUGCCUGUGAAUUCUUCACUAAACCUCCCAGUUUUGGGGCAGUUGUUCAAAAAUCAAUUAAAAAUUGAUAGCUGUUUUGUGAUGAUCCUUUGCUACAGUCUCUUCCUGCCUGGCUGCGAGGGAGGGGAAUGUGAGAUGUCUAUCCUCCUACUGUCAGAGAGGAGGCUCUCCCUCAAAUGCCAGCUCUGGUUUUGAAGAGCCUCUUGGUUCUGCUCAGGAGAACACACAAAUGAGGGUGAAGAGAUCCCAGCAAUUAGAAUGAAAAAGAAGUUGCUCACAUUUCCCCACCAAAGGCAGAAGUAAAAUAUCACAUUUACAAUUUGUCACCUUCCUCUAAGGCAAAAGCAUCUGCACCACACCAACUCCAUCCCAUUCACCACCUUCUGCUCCACGGCACUUGGCCCUGAUCUGCAGCUGUGUGAGUAUUUUGGGGGCCUGGCUAGAGGUAAGGAGGUGCUGUGAGGGAAUACAACCCCCUGGAACUCCCUGCCUUUGCGGCUACAUCUACUGUUGCUGGCGGGCUGGCUGGGCUGUGUUCGUGGUGUGAUGGGCACAUCGUGUGGCCAGAACGGAGAAGUGCAGUUUGUGUUUGACCUUUUCCCUGAGCUAAAUCCUGCCGUUUGGUCCAGCUGUGCAAACAAGUGGUAAAAGGACUCAAAUUGCCCAGCUGCUAGCACUGGACAACACACCCAACUCCGAACUUCUGUGCUGACACUGAAAUACUUGUCACUCCAGUUUUUCCUCUGCUCUUCUUUAAUCCUGCCUUAUAUAUUUCAUUUCUCAGCUGCCACAGGUGUGCUUAAGUUGUAUUUUCAAGGGGUUCUCCAAAGUCAGGAAGAAAAAGCAGCAGAUAGAUUUUUUUAGGAAAUAUUCAGUAAUAGUGCAGUGAUGAUCAAGAGGAGCAAUGGGGACUGUGUAGGCUUCAGGCAAGUCUUCUCAUGGCUUUAUAAGGAAGCUAAAGCAACAUGGCUAAGCUUGAACCUGCUUAUGUAGGCAUUACCAGAGCAGCUGUCCAGCUGAAUGACUGGAUUCCUUGGGAGCUUACCGUAAUUCCAGGACCAUAAGUAGCUGAUUUGUGACUCCAAAUGUGAGAACUGAGAAAAUCUGCAAGCCUUACGUGGAGAAGAAGCCCUGAGACAAUGGAAAAGUGCAGGGCUGAAAUUCACAGCAACAUCAGAAAAAAAAAUGGGAGAGAGUCUGGGAAACAGAGGCUGGAAAUAAUUAAUCUAGAUAAGAGUAAUUACCUGCACUUACACUGGUGGGAAACUGUAGGUGAAGGAGCAGGAUCAGGAAGUUACGGGCAGUCAGAAGCAGGAGCCCUGUGCUGUGAAUAAGGUAGAUCCUGUUCCAGGGUGUGUAAGCAGGAUCACAGCCUGGACUACCACACCGGUUCUGCCCAAGUACAGCCAAGCCCAUGCUGGAGCCUUGGACCAGUGUUGACCUUCAAAGAAAUACGGCCCAAAGAAUGAGACUCAAGAUGAGAGCAAAGACAAUGGUCCAAGAUGUGGAAAUCCUGACCUCUGGGGAAAGGAAAAGGAUUGUUAGCCUUGAGAAGAGAAGGUCAAAGACCUGCAAACACCUUUCAGAGAAGGAUUAGGCAGACCAAACAGAGCCCUGAACAAUUUGUACAAAGAUUAAUUAAUAUUGUUAUCAGUCGGGGAACAGAUAGAUUAGGUCCAAGCCCUGCAUUUGCUGACUUCUCAUCCAUCCCAAACAUUUGCAUUGUGAGACUGAAAUUUGAUGCUGAAGAUAGUGCAGAUGCUCUGCAAGAACAUAUGGUACACCUCCAGGCUUCAGGUUUCAUCCCAGAGAGAUGACUGUCUGGCUUGUAGCGUGAAACCCUUCAGGGUAGAAAGAAGUAACAAACUGAUGUGCCAAAGAUACUGGAUAACUGCAGGUCCAGUUAGGGGCAUAUUAAAACUGUGAAUACAUACAGCUGAUGUUCAUGAUGGAUCCAGUUCUGUGCAAAAAUGCAUGCAUAUUCUCACCAAAAAGGUAACUUCUUACGUAUCAAAAGUACACUGCUUUCAAAUCUGAUCAUCAUAAGGAAGCUCUAGUUCAUGUCAUAGAUAUGGAGAUUACUGCUGAAUUGUUGCAUCCACAGGUGCAGAGAAAUCCAUUGUCUUUGCUGGAAAAACCCAAGUUUGAAAGAAUCCUGAGGUCUCAAAUCAGCAAGAAAACAUCUUUGUUAUUCCUUGCCAGCCUCGAGUGACUUUGAGUGGGAGUUUGGCUGGGUUGACCCUGUAUUAUAGAUCAAAUAAGCCAAUUUCUCUUCAGCAAAGUUCCUAACAAAUAUGGCCAGAUGCCAGCAGAAAAAAAAAUCGCUAUUGUCCCCUGAAUUUCCUCAACAACCUCUCCUUUAAAUCACCAGCUGAUUCCCCCCUUGUUUAUUGACACCCACUCAGCCCAAGCCCAAGGGGACGGAUGGGAAAGGUUUCUCGGUGCUUUGGCUGUUCUGCAGACAUCCUGGCACUUGUUUGAUCGCGGGUGGAACAGGACGCAGACCUUUCCUGCCGGGGCCGAGCCGCAGCCGGGUGCUAUUCAGCUCUCAGAACAAUGCCUGGCAGCUCCCGAGUAAUUUAAACCGGCCGAAAACAGCCCAGCCUGGGGAUGAAUCAUGACCCAUCCGUGUUUGCUUCCGCCUUUCCACUCAGAGGCCUGAAAUCAGCACGGCCUCUGCUGGCAGGCAAGCGGCUCCCUGGAGAACGAGCAAUAAACAACAUUUUAAAGGGAUUUUCUUUCACAAGGGCCUUGCCUGUGUGAAUUCCAAGAAAAAGCCAACUCUAGAAAGCGUGCAUCCAGGGAGGAGGGAUGUGCAGCCUGCUGGAUGACUUGCUGUAACAUUCAUCGAAGAAACCCAAAAUACAGAAAUAUUGCACAGGAACAGAGAUGAUCCUGAAUGUUUUCUGGCUGUGAGUUCUUCUGAGAGCAUCCCACCCAUGUUCUACUGCGAUACAGCUCUGCUUCUUGAAGCAGCCCUAGAAAAGAUAUUUCCCACUGUGUUUCUCCAGGCAGAAAAAACAAAAGGUCCUCCAGGAUGUAAAUGAGGCCGGCUCCACUGGGUGCAGCAGAAAAAAAACCCAGUUCAUAGCUGCUGGGAAUCUGGACCAUAGCACUGUGAUGGCAGAGCUGGAGCAGGCUGCAGGACCGAGGAGUGUGGUCAGGACCAAAGCACCAGCCAGGGACUUGGGAUACCUGUGCUGUUCCCCCUUGGAACAGGGUCCUAAAGAGCCUAGCCUAGUGCAGCUUGCUGAGCAAAUGGCAAAACUAAUGCAAAAAAUGGAUGAACGCACCCGGUCGACCCGCUCCACAUGUGAGUGCCCCGAGGCUUCCAGGACCAAGCACAGCACCCUCUAUCUUGUUCUCACCACCCUGAUGAUGGUAACAUUGGUGGCUUUUUUGGCUGCUGCUGCAAAUAGGAAAGAUCUCAGAAUUCAUGUUAUCUAAAUAACCUGCACGGAUAAUUCAGUUAAUUUCUUGUUUCUGAAGCAAUUUAGGUAAUCUCUGACCUGAGCACAAACACCUCUCAGCUCUAUUAAACUCUUAACCCUGGGUGUAAUUUAGAACGGUGGGGAGAUGCACACCCGGAUGAGGAGCAGCCCACGGUGGGACAGGAACCAAGGCUGCGGAGCGAGGGCCGGAGCUGCAGGGAUGCCCCGCAGCAUUCCAAAAACCUGGGAGCCACAGGUAUUUGAUAUUUGGUUAUAGCUGCCAUAAAAAAUAUAAUGUAAUUUGAAUUCCUGAUGCUUUAUGUCUAGAAGGUCUAAAUUCACUGGAACAAACAUAUGAGCAUGACAGCUAGCUACUUUUCUUACCUGUUUUGUAAGGUACUCAACCCUAAGCAAUGUAUUGCACAUUUGAUGUAAGAAUUUAGCCUUUAAUCCUAUGUCCAGUUUCAACAUGUGAAUGGUUUGUAUUUAAAUACAAAUAGGACUCAAGGACACCAACUUCCUGAAUAAAAUACUAGUCUUUCGAAGGACCAGGAGAAACGGUGGCCACGUAAAUACGUUCUAUAGAUUGUUGUUGUUGUUAUAAGGAAACAUGU